rnacentral:rRNA from 1 species
CGGAGGAUCCAAGCGUUAUCCGGAAUCAUUGGGUUUAAAGGGUCCGUAGGCGGUUUAAUAAGUCAGUGGUGAAAUCUGGUCGCUCAACGAUCAAACGGCCAUUGAUACUGUUAGACUUGAAUUACUGGGAAGUAACUAGAAUAUGUAGUGUAGCGGUGAAAUGCUUAGAUAUUACAUGGAAUACCAAUUGCGAAGGCAGGUUACUACCAGUGGAUUGACGCUGAUGGACGAAAGCGUGGGGAGCGAACAGGAUUAGAUACCCUGGUAGUCCACGCCGUAAACGAUGGAUACUAGCUGUUGGGAGCAAUCUCAGUGGCUAAGCGAAAGUGAUAAGUAUCCCACCUGGGGAUACGUUCGCAAGAAUG